GACCCCAUCGUCUAGUGGUCUAGGACACUUGGUUCUCAUCCAAGAGAUCGUGAGUCCGAAUCUCACUGGGGUCA
rnacentral:tRNA from 1 species